GAGUGAUACAAAAUUCUUUGGACAUCCACAUGAAAUCCCAGGUAAAAUACAAAUGAAAAAUCCAAUCUCUGUGGGAAAUUCAUAUACCCCAACUACUCAUUUCAUUGUGUUGUGCCUGUCCUUGUUUACAAAACUUAAUAUCCAUUAGUACAAUUUCCUGGUGGAGGAGGACACAAUUCUACAGGGGCUACAGGCUUAUAGAGUGCAUGGCCCGGGUUUUUCGCAUUCGAUGCCUCAAUACACAGCCACUCUUCGACCCCAUGUGUGUGUUACAGUAAACAGCAUGUGCUUCAUCAGAAGCCCCCAAUUAUUGGUUACGGACAAGGGCUCUGUCACCUGUUAUAAAAGUGGUGUUUUUUCUUUCUUUUCUCCAUUUUUCAAAUUGUUUUCAAAGGAGGAAGAUGACAUUGUGGCAUUGCCUUUGUGUUUCCCACAAAAGGGAUUCAGAAACCAUAAAUUUCCAGGGCUUCCUCUGUUUUUAUGAAAAUUUCCAAAGGGAAAUUGUAUUUCUAGUCAGCCUUCUUUUCAAUGAAUUGCUACCAUUUUUAAGGGACGCAACUUUCUUAGUUUCUGGUUUGUGGUUCAAUUUUUGCUCACAAAUUCAAAGUACCCAAUUGACCUCCUCCCCUUUUUUUUCAUAAAAUUAUCUAUAAUAAGUAAGAAAAUGAGAAAUUAAUCGAAGAAUAUGGAGAAAUUACAUGAAAUGAAAUCAAUAUGUAAGCAAUUAAUAAGCAUAAAAUUUGAACUCAUACAAAAAGAGAAGUGAGAAAAGGCAUAACUAAAGACCAGUUACUCUGUUAAGGAGACAGAGAGAGAAAGAGGAGAAGGAGGGUAUGAAAAAAAAGGAAAAAGAAAAGUUAUGGUUUAUGUAUCUCUAAAAGAUAUAUAUCUAUGGAUAUGAGGGAGCACAGGCUAUGCAAGCAAGCAAUAGAAUAGCAAAGGAAACACCAUCCUCUUCAAGAUUGGAGCUGCUCCUCUUGAACUUGCUAGCUUUUCCUUUGUUGCAGUAUUGUAUCUGGAGCUUCUGCAUCUGCUGCUACUGCUGCUGAUGCUGAUAUUAAUCUCACCCACUCUUCUUCAUGGCCUCAUCCACCUUAGAAACCAUUUUCUUUUUCCCUCUUUUUUCUUCUCAAAGUCUUUUGGAAACUCUGUAUAUAAGAGUACUAAAGCACAGAGAGAGAGUAGAGAUUGUGCAUGGGGAACAUCAAUACAUGCAUCUCCUCAUUUUAUAGCCCAUAGUCCUACUAAAACGCCCUUAGUUUCUACCCAAAAUAUCACUAAAUUUAUAUUAGGAUCCAGUACUUAGAAUAAGAAUCUUAUAAAAGUAAUCUUAUAAAUUUAAUAUGGAAUAUUGAUGGCAUGGUGAGGUGAGCUAUGGUGCCUUAAUUGAGAAUGUCUGUUACCACCAGCCUCCAGCAACAAUGACCCAAUCUAUAGGGAUUUGUGACCAAAUUAGGGUCUCACCCAUAGGUUGAAGAAUUCUAUCGACUUAGGCACGGACUCAAUAUCCUCUUGAUGUUGAGAAUCCAUGCAAUAUAGUAAUUUGGUGAAUCAUAAUGAUUGAUAACUUUACAUCAUAAUUCAUCAUAGGUCUUGUCUAGUGUGCAUCAUACACACUAGUGCACUUACUAUGGUAAAACCAUCUCGAUGACUAAGAUAAGGCAUCCCUUUAAUUAAGAAAUAGUGCACUACAAUCUCAAAUUGAUUGCCUAAAUCCAUGAACCAACUAUGGACAACUCAUCACUUUGCAAGGAACCCAUGACUUGGAUCCUCUGUGCAACUCCUAACGUACCUAAGUCAUGCACAAUGCAAGUGAUGUAAGUAUGUAUGCUCAAAUAACCAAUUAAUACAAAUGAGAUUAUAUAAGGAAACCAAGAAGCAUAAAUAAAUAAAUUUAUAAAUAAAUCUCAAUCUAUUAUAUCAUGUCAUACUCUCCAAGGCUCAAUCCGAACACUUGAUCCCCACAAAUUAUCCAAGUUGCACAUACUAAAUGAUAAAUUUGAAAGUAUUAAAAUGAAUAAAGAUAAGCCUUUCUCUAAGUCCUACACUAAAUGCAAUCAUAUUUUAAUUCUUACUUUAAAUUAGGAAAAAAAGAUUCUUAAGUCCAAAGUGGUCCAAAAGAUAUUUAGGUAUUUCCUAGAGAGAUUUAGGUGUAAGGUGACCACCAUUGAGAAGAGUAAAAAUAUUGACAUAAUGUGAAUAGAUGAGUUAAUAGGUUCCCUACAAGCCUAUGAGAUAACUCUUCUAUCCUCCAUAAAACUUAGAGGGGUAGCCAUAAAGACCUCUAAAAAGAAUGAAUCUAAAGAUGAGAGUGAACUAGUUCUUACUCCUUCUGAAAUUUCAAUGUUCACUAAGAAAUUAAAAAAUUACAUGAAAUUACAAAAGAAAGCUAACUUAAAAGAACACUAAAAAAAGAAAGAAAAAUCUCUCUAAGAACAAAAAUGAAAAUAAAGGCUCAUUUAUCCUCAAGUUGAAUGUUAUAAUUGUAGAGGAAAUGACACAUCGAUGUUGAUUGCCCUAACCCUAAAAAAAACAAGAAGGCAAUGAAAAGCAUGUUGGUGGAAAUUUUAUAAAUCAAGAACCUAAGAGAGCAACAUAAUUUUUAGAAUUUGUGGCAAAUAAUCAAGGUCCUAGGAUAUCCUUGUUCCUCAACUAAACUCUUUUGCUCCAUUACAACAAAACUUCACUACUAGUGAGGAUAUUUUGAAACUGAAAGCAGAAAUAGAUUUACAACCCAAAUGUGAUGUGUUGACAAGGAGAAUUGAGGAGUUGGGGAUGAAGAAUAACAGAGGGGUGAAGGCCACAAAUUAGGUGUGAAAUCAUGCAGCCAUAUGCAACUCACUUGAAAAUAUGAAUUUGAAACUUAACUUUUUCAAUAUUUUAAAAGAUCCCAAAAAGUAGGAUGUUAAAAAGAAAGAAAAAGAUAGAGAAAAUAUGGCAUUGCAUUCUCACUGAUAAUGAUGAAUAUUUAUAUACAAAAAAACAUUUGAUAAGCUCUAUUCUAAUUCAAACUCUAUCUCAUACUCUAAUUCAAACUAAUAAUAAAAAUUGAUUUUCUUAAAUAGAAAUUGUUUUUAUCCUAAAUCUCCAUCAACACUCUAUGAAAUCUUAUUAUUGGUUGUUGGUUUAAAUUCCCUUUAGAUUAGCUUGAAUUCUAAUUUUGAUACAAGAUACCAUUCUUUUAGUCAUUCAUUUUGUUGAUGAUAUUUUUAUUAAGUUGGUUGAUUGCGUGUUACACUUUAUCAUUUUUUAAUUCUUCAUAUCCAUUAUUCUUCUCUUUUGCUUCCGACCAAUAUUGAUUCCAUUAAUUUAACCUCUACCUCUUUAUCACCUUCAACUCUACCUUUCUCUCUCUCUAAAAGCUUCCUCAAGGGUUAAUCGAAAACCUUAGUUCUUUUUACUUUUACUCAUUCUUCCAGUAAAUUUACAUUAUUUUCUCAACACUCAUCAUGAGUUUUUCAAAAUCAUUUUUUAUUGGUUUUUUUUUUUUCAUUUCUCAAGAUUUUUUUUCUUGUUCUUUUUUCUAGUUUUCUUGCCAACCAAACAACUAGUCUAAUGUAUUUUCUCCUUGAUUUCUCUAUAUUCUUCUUUCUCUUGAUGGUAUUAGCUAGAGUCUACCUUUAUAUCAACAUAGAGCGAAUUUAGGCUACAAGGCUAGGGCCUUGCACCGUCCCCUCCCACUACAAAUGGUAGUGGUCUUGUUGUGCCUAAUAUUGGUAAGGAUACUAUGCCCCCACCCCCACGCCCCCACCUGCCACCAAAUGGGCUUCCUCAUCAUUUGCACUGCAAUCUUUGCUUUGAGCCCUACCUGGUGUAUCAAUGCCUCCUUCCCUAUGGCCUCUAAUGCAAUAUCUUGGUUUCAAUACCUAUAUACAACCAAGAGUUUCAAAUUUGCCUCGUUCAAACCUACCAAAAUUUUCUUCUUAUAAUCUUAAAGUAAUUCUUGACUAUACUAAUUUUCCUUUCAAAGUCAUUUUUAUUGGUCACUAAUCACUAUUCUUUCUUUCAUUGGUUUUUUUUUCAAUUUUAAGGCUUAUAUGUUGUAAGUUGUGUGGUUUGAUCCUUCUCUCUCUAUUUUCUUUUAGAGAAAACAUGGCACUGCAUUCUUAUUGACGGUGAUGAAUAUUUAUAUCAAAAUAACAUUCGAGUUCUACUAUAAUUCAAACUCUAUCUUCUAUUCUAAUUCAAAUUAAUAAUAAACUUCUACUCUAGUUCAAACUCUAUAUUCUACUAUAAUUCAAACUAACAAUAAAUAGACAAAUAUUAAUUUUUAAAUUAAAGACAAACAUUAACUUUCUCUAAUAGAUGCAGUGUCCCAUGAGGAAGUCAACUGAAAUUGUGGCAAGAGAUGAAAAUUUGAUUGUGGAUAUAUUUGACCUGAAUACAAACUUGGCUGUUUUGCAGAGUAUCUUUACCAGCCCAUGUUUGAAGCAUUAAGAAGGAAAUCAAAGUGGAAGAAUUAAUCCAAUUUACCUAUGGAAAGUCAGGAAGAAGAGCAAGACAAUCAGCUAGUCUGGGGGCUAGCACCAUAGUAGAGUAGGCUUACGAUUUUGAUUUUGGUUCAUUUUGAUUUCUAUCUUUACUUGAUUACCCUUUUAGUUGUUCAUUUGUUUUUCAUUUGGUUUUGAUUUUUCUGAUUGUGUGAACAAGUGUACAGGUAGAUUUGAAGAGAAUCUGUAGAUUCUGCAAACAAUUCAAAGAGCUCAAGCUAAGGAUGUGUAAUCAUCUUCAAAGAUGAUUAAGGGUAAUCAUGCCCAAGGGGAUGGAUUUGAAUGGGAGCUGAACAUAAUCGAAAUCAUUAAUAAGCAACUUGCAGUUCAGAUAAGCAUUACUGAUGUCUAGGAAAGAUCCCAGCGCAGUGAGAACUGAUUCAAGCUUCCCAUGUAUCAACUCUUAGCUUAAUUGAGGACCAAUGCAACUGUUCUAGGAUUGAUUAUGAAAUUAUGAAUGUUGAUUUGCUGGCAUUUGAGCACACAUGGUAUCUGAAAGUUUUUAAUGGUUUCAACAGAAGAAAAUAACUUUAAAGGAUCAUGAUUCAUGCCACAUAUUGGUUUUCAUUCUUUUCUCUCAUAUUCAAGUCAUGCCUCAAGAUUCAAUUUGAAAAGAACAGUGAAAUUCUGCUCUGCUACAACACCAUAAAUGAACUCAUUCCCAUCGGAUUAUAGCAUAUCCUCAGCAUACAUACAUGUUUUAUGGGUUGUUUUUCUUUGAAAUAGGGUAUCAGUUGACUCAGUUCAAGGGUGUUUGGCGUCCAAGAAAAGAUCUUACAGUAGAUAUUGGACGUAAAUUUUCUAAAGCUAAAUCAGACUCUUAGGAUAGCACAUGACAUUAAUGAAAAAUGUUAGUUCUAGGACCUGCAGACUAGAAAAUUGAAUAAUAAAAAAGUCCUAAAUGGAGGGGAUGUUUCGAAUAAGAAAUUUACAGUUUGUGUGAACAAGAACUGGAUCUUCUUGUGAUAUUGUUAUGCAAUACUAGAUAGCCAUUGACAUAUAAAGGAAAUAUACUUUUUAGGGAAUGUUUAUAUUUGUCAAUGACCCCUGAAUUAUACAUUUCCCAUUGUGAUUAUGAUUUGCCAUCAAUCAGUUCCUUCAGGCCCAUGCCUUAAUCUCGUAGCAAAUUCUGAUAUGGUCCAAUAACAUGAAUGAGCUUCAAUACAGCAUUGUAGGGUACUGCCUUAAUUUGAUCAACCCUAUGGAGUGAUACAAAAUUCUUUGGACAUCCACAUGAAAUCCCAGGUAAAAUACAAAUGAAAAAUCCAAUCUCUGUGGGAAAUUCAUAUACCCCAACUACUCAUUUCAUUGUGUUGUGCCUGUCCUUGUUUACAAUCUUAUUAUCCAUUAGUACAUUUCCUGGUGGAGGAGGACACAAUUCUACAGGGGCUACAGGCUUAUAGAGUGCAUGGCCCGGGUUUUUCGCAUUCGAUGCCUCAGUUAACAGCCACUCUUCGACCCCAUGUGUGUGUUACAGUAAACAGCCUGUGCUUCAUCAGAAGCCCCCAAUUAUUGGUUACAGAAGGGCUUUGUCAUCUGUUAUACAAGUAGUGUUUUUUGCUUUCUUGUCUCCAUUUUUUCAAGUUGUUUUCAAAGGAGGAAGAGGACACUGUAGCAUUGCCUUUGUGUUUCCCACAAAAUGGGUUCAGAAACCAUAAAUUUCUCAGGCUUCCUCUGUUUUCAUGAAAAUCUCCCAAGAGAAAUUGUAUUUCCAGUCAGCCUUCUACCAUUUUUAAGGGACACAACUUUCUUAGUUUCCGGUUUGUGGUUCAAUUUUUGCACACAAAUUCAGAGUACCCAAUUGACUUCCUCCCUUUUUUUCUCACAAAUUAUCCAUAAUAAGUAAGAAAAUCAGAAAUUAAUCCAAGAACAUGGAGAAAUUACAUGAGAUGAAAUCAAUAUGUAAGCAAUUAAUAAGCAUAAAAUUUGAACUCAUACAGAAAGAGAAGUGAGAAAAGGCAUAACUAAAGACCAGUUACUCUCUGUGAGAGAGACAGAGAGAGAAAGAGGAGGAGGAUAUGAAAAGAAAGGAAAAGGAAAAGUAAUGGUUUAUGCAUCUCUAAAACAUAUAUAGCUAUGGAUAUGAGGGAGCACAGGCUAUGCAAGCAAGCAAUAGAAUAGCAGAGGAAGCACCAUCCUCUUCAAGAUUGGAGCUGCUCCUCUUGAAUUUGCUAGCUUUUCCUUUGUUGCAGUACUGUAUCUGCAGCUUCUGCAUCUGCUGCUGCUGCUGAUGCUGAUAUAGCUCUUUGCCACUCUUCUUCAUGGCCUCAUCCACCUUAGAAACCAUUUUCUUUUUCUCUCUUUUUUCUUCUCAAAGUCUUUUGGAAACUCUGUAUAUAAGAGUACUAAAGCACAGAGAGAGAGGAGAGAUUGUGCAUGGGGAACAUCAAUACAUGCAUCUCCUCAUUUUAUAGCCCAUAGUCCUACCAAAAUACCCUUGGUUUCUGCCCAAAAUAUCACUCUAUUUUAUAUAAGGAUCCAGUACUUAGAAUAAGGAUUUUAAAAAUGUAAUCUUAUACAUUAAAUAUGGAAUAUGGAUGGCAUGGUGGGGUGAGGCCAUUAUAU
rnacentral:lncRNA from 1 species